CGUGUCUAGUAUCUAACCUUAAUCGUUCCUCAGAAAAAUAGUAUCUAACCCUAACCCCUCCUGUGCUUCUCCCUUCCCCAGCACCCAUCAUCCCCUCUAGCCUCCGCCCCCAGAUCCCCUUGUCACACCACAGAGCCUCUCCCUACCUCCUCCGAUCUACCACGACGGCGCCCCCUCGCACUUUCCCACCGCGCCACUCCUUCCCUCCUCUGAUCUACUUUGAUGGCAGCGCUGGACGCGGGGGGCGACGCUGCACGCAGGGCAGUGGCGCUCGGGGUGAUGAGCUCAUGGUCGUUCUGCAUCCCGGCUAUGAGGACUUCCGCUCGUGUGCUCCGGUAGGGGCGGAAGAGGUGCCGCUGUGGUCCGCAUAGUCUCACUAACCUCAAGGUUAGGUGUGAUGGCGUGUUUUUCUGCAAUCUGCACGGCUCAUGGUGGAGUGGCUGGAGUGUAUUCGAUCGCUGCUGGAUCUGGACUUGGCAACAUGAUCAUUAGGCAAAUGUUACGGAAGCGGUUAUUCUGCUCCCGAGCACAGGUGCAAUCGGUAUCUGGGCGGCUCAUUUUGUCAUUUGGAUGCGCUGCAUUAAAUUAUAAGCCAGUCAGUGGUUCGUUUUUAAAUCAAGUGGGGAGGAAAUACAGUAGACGGCGGGGGCAUACGGGUUGCCGGUCACAGCGCGCGCAGAUGCCGCUGUGACGGAAGGAGAGCCGAGCCGUGGCUCGGGACUGUCAUAUUUUCCUGAUCCGUAGCUCAGGAAAUCAGUUUUCCGUUAGCCGGCGGUGCCCCGGGCUAGUAAAUGAGGAAUGGAUCCGAGGCGGAGUUGUCUCCUACCUCUUGCUACGCCUGUUGGAUCUCCAUUGACGACUGCGGCCUGCUGAGCAGUAGCGGGUGGCGCUAGUUGGGAUGCAGUUCUUGAUGAAGCCCAUUAGAAGGACGGCUGUGGUGGAGGAGGUGAACGACAACGAGCUUCCAACUGAGCCGCCACACUACCCCGCCGUCGCGGUAUCAAUUGAAGAGCUACCCCCAUGGCAAUAGCUAGCGCAGAGGGACAGAUUUGUGCAGCGGUUGGGGAAGGAGCGGCCGGGGUGUAUGUUGAACCGCCAGCAGAGCAGUCAAUUGAUCAGAUUGACCGAGAAACUCCAGGCUAGACUCGAAGACUUCAGGUGUACACAUUCAUGGCGGGCGUGUCUCGUAAGGAAAAUAGAGACCAUAUGAGGUGCCAAUGUCAAAUGAAUGUAAAGAGAAAAGCAUCAUCUGGGUUGUUUUGGGAAAGGAUUUUUGUUAUAUUAUUUUCGAAUAAUGAAAUCGUGAUGAAAUUAGAAAAGGUAAGUAGCUUCUGUGGAAAGCCUGAUUUGCUUUUCCUCCUAACCAGUAAUGAAUAUACUAGCACCAAUCACAUGAUCAACAAUGAAAAAAAAUAGCAAUGUGGGUUGGUUUUAUUGAUACUGGUUAUCGACAUGAGUGAUUAAAUAGCACAAUUUAGGUGACAAACUUGUAAUUACAAACUUAAAUGGUAAAACCCAAGAAAUUUAGUAUGGCCUAUAACGUAGUCUCUUGCAUAUAGAUGUUUGGAUUCCAUAAUGUUUGCCUGAUUUGAGUGAGAUGGAAUCAGAGGACAAAAGAAAGUGUCAAACCAAUGAAUGUGUACAUGAGAAAAACGUCAUCUGUGUUGUUAUUUUUUUCCGAAAAUAUGUUUGUGACAGUUUGAAUUUUUAUGAGACGCAGGGUGAGAAUUGGAGCUGCUGCUCCAGGAUGGACGACCUGCCCUAGGCAGCCCAGCGCCCUUGAGAAAGCAAUUCGUGGAUUCGUUGACAAACCGUGCUUGCCCUGGGUACAGGCUCUGAUACACUCGGCGAGGCGUACAAUUUUUACAAUCUCUACUCUUGGGAGAAGGGUUCAUGUCUCAUAAAGAAUUGCAUGAUAGAGAUGCAGCCUUUUGCUGAAGUUAGGGAUGGGCUAGGAUCGGAGGACAUGAUAGCUGAAAAUGGAGAUGUCAUCAAUCAGCUGCUGGUGCAAACGGCAAUUGCUGCUGCUAGCGGAGAUGCAACUAUUGGGAGCAGGCUUGUUGUAUUGUUGGCACCAAAGAAGCGGAAAGAGAUGCGGCGCCCAACAACUAGCCGGGAGAAAGCACCAUAAGAGGGCCUUAGCAAACGGACAAGGUUCUGCGCUAUAUGUCGCCGGCAGGGGCAGAAGAGAACAACCUGCCCGGACCGGGGUGACAUUCCAAAGCCUGUCCGCAAACUAGCUAGUUGUUAGUCGUAGCAAUUGCCGAAAUGCCUUGUUUGGGAAUAAAAGGAAAACUUAUCUGCAUGAAUGUUUUGACUCAAUUUAUGAUGGUAUGCACAAUGUACGUGCGCUGAUAGGAUGCUGUCAUUUUUUCAUGAA